GAUGAACGCUGGCGGCGUGGAUUAGGCAUGCAAGUCGAACGGUAUCAUCCUUUCGGGGGUGAGAGAGUGGCGAACUGGUGAGUAACACGUAGGUUAUCUACCCUCAAGACGGGGACAACCCAGGGAAACUUGGGCUAAUACCGGAUGUGAGCAACUUUUAGUUGUUUGAAAGGUGGCGUAAGCUGUCGCUUGGGGAUGAGCCUGCGUCCUAUUAGUUAGUUGGUGAGGUAACGGCUCACCUAGGCAAUGAUAGGUAGGCGGCCUUAACGGGUGGUCGCCCACACUGGGAUUGAGAUACGGCCCAGACUCCUACGGGAGGCAGCAGUCGAGAAUAGUCUACAAUGGUCGGAAGACUGAUAGUGCGACGCCGCGUGAACGAUGAAUCCCUUCGGGGUGUAAAGUUCUUUUAUAUGUGAGCAGUGCUUCUUAUAUUAACAGUAUGGGGAGAGAGAUAUUAGCAUAUGAAUAAGCAACGGCUAACUCCGUG
rnacentral:rRNA from 1 species